UACGUAGGGGGCGAGCGUUGUCCGGAAUUAUUGGGCGUAAAGAGCUUGUAGGCGGUUUGUCGCGUCUGCUGUGAAAAUCCGGGGCUCAACCCCGGACUUGCAGUGGGUACGGGCAGACUAGAGUGUGGUAGGGGAGACUGGAAUUCCUGGUGUAGCGGUGAAAUGCGCAGAUAUCAGGAGGAACACCGAUGGCGAAGGCAGGUCUCUGGGCAGUUACUGACGCUGAGGAGCGAAAGCAUGGGGAGCGAACAGGAUUAGAUACCCUA
rnacentral:rRNA from 1 species